AUCCGGAUCGAGGACAGUGUAUGGUGGGCAGUUUGACUGGGGCGGUCUCCUCCUAAAGAGUAACGGAGGAGUACGAAGGUGCGCUCAGACCGGUCGGAAAUCGGUCGUAGAGUAUAAAGGCAAAAGCGCGCUUGACUGCGAGACAGACACGUCGAGCAGGUACGAAAGUAGGUCUUAGUGAUCCGGUGGUUCUGUAUGGAAGGGCCAUCGCUCAACGGAUAAAAGGUACUCCGGGGAUAACAGGCUGAUACCGCCCAAGAGUUCAUAUCGACGGCGGUGUUUGGCACCUCGAUGUCGGCUCAUCACAUCCUGGGGCUGAAGCCGGUCCCAAGGGUAUGGCUGUUCGCCAUUUAAAGUGGUACGCGAGCUGGGUUUAGAACGUCGUGAGACAGUUCGGUCCCUAUCUGCCGUGGACGUUUGAGAUUUGAGAGGGGCUGCUCCUAGUACGAGAGGACCGGAGUGGACGAACCUCUGGUGUUCCGGUUGUCACGCCAGUGGCAUUGCCGGGUAGCUAUGUUCGGAAGAGAUAACCGCUGAAAGCAUCUAAGCGGGAAACUUGCCUCAAGAUGAGAUCUCACUGGAGCCUUGAGCUUCCUGAAGGGCCGUCGAAGACUACGACGUUGAUAGGUCGGGUGUGUAAGCGCUGUGAGGCGUUGAGCUAACCGAUACUAAUUGCCCGUGAGGCUUGACCAUAUAACACCCAAACA
rnacentral:rRNA from 1 species